GCCGGCAGAGCCGAUGGAAAUCGGAACAGCGCGCGCGCGCGCAGUUUCAAAGCCCAGUGAGGGGGAAAGAAGGAUGGAAAAGGCGCCCGGAAAUGCUAUCUCUGCCAACAGCCAGGGCACUUUGCCAGAGUCUGCCCUCAGAGGAAGGAAUGGCAAGGGAUGGUGGGAGCUGUGGAGGGAAGAGAGGAAAAAUACCGGAGCAACUAAAAGCCAACGCCUGGCUGCCAUUGUCGGGGCACAGCAGCCAGGCCAAAGAGCAGUGAAAGUGCCCACUCCAGAACCUCCUAAACCCGCCCUAGUGAUAGAAGUGACACUAGAGCUCCCAAACGGACACCCUCUAAAGAUAAAGGCGCUGUUGGACUCAGGCAGCUCCUGCAAUUUCAUGAGCAAAGAGUUUGCAGCUGAACACCAGAUACAGACGCUCCUUUAAGCAACCCCUGCAGGUAACCACGAUCGAUGGCAGGGAGCUGUUGGGAGGAGAAGUCAGCUUGCAGACCGUCCCAAUGAUAAUGAAGGUGGCAAGGCACACUGAACUGAUAGCUUUUAAUGUGGCCACCUUGGGAGGAGCUCCCAUUAUAUUGGGGAUGAGCUGGCUAGCGUUACAUGAUCCGCUGGUGGGCUGGCAUCAGAGAGUGGUUUCUUUUGGGUCAGCACAUUGCUUAGAACAUUGCAAAGAGGGAAAGGUUUUGGCAGGGGCCCAAGCCACCCUAGCAGGGACUGAAGUGAAGGAGAACGUGAAGGUACCACGACAAUACGCAGAUCUCCGCGACGUCUUCAGCGAAAGGGAAGCUGACCAACUACCACCGCAUAGAGCCUUUGACUGUCAAAUCAAUUUGCUCCCUGGGGCACAGCUCCCUGUGGGCAAGCUGUACGCCAUGUCAGACAGAGAGAUGCAGGAGCUAAGAGAGUUCAUUGACAAGAACCUGAAGAGAGGGUUCAUCAGAGAGUCCAGGGCGGUGGGGGGGCCGCCCAGUGUUUUUUGUGGACAAAAAAAAACACGAACAAGCCGAGACUGGUGUGUGACUUCAGGGCCUUAAAUGCAGUGUCAGAACCAGUGGCCUUCCCGAUGCCCAGGAUUGACGACAUUUUGACAAGGGUGCGAAAGGGAAAGAUUUUCACCAAGCUGGAUCUAAGGGGGCGUACAACCUGAUACGAAUAAGGAAGGGGGAUGAAUGGAAAACCACCAUGUUCACCCCUUUAGGGGCAUUUGAAUACUUAGUUAUGCCCUUCGGUCUACAAGCAGGCUCCGCAACAUUUCAAUCGUUUAUGAACCACGUCCUGGGGCCGUUGCUUUACAAGAAUUGUGUGGCCUUCUUAGACGACGUGUUGGUGUAUUCUGAGAAUGAGGAGCAGCAUGUGAGAGACGUCAGAGAAGUGUUGAGCAGGCUGCAAGCCAACCAGCUGUGGGUGAAACUGGAGAAGUGUCAGUUUCAUACCAAGGAGGUGGAAUUCCUGGGGUAUCGCCUGUCUGACAAGGGGUUGGCCAUGGAUCCCGGCAAGGUCCAGGCGGUACUGGAAUGGAAAACACCCAAAACAAGGAAGGAUGUGCAGAGGUUUUUAGGGUUUGGGAACUUCUAUCGUAAGUUCAUCCCAAACUUUGCCCACCUGACGGCGCCCAUUACGGACUGUCUCAGCAGUAAGAAGAAGUUCGGUUGGACGGAGGAGGCGGAGCAAGCAUUUGAGGAACUAAAAAGGGCCUUCGCCUCGGAACAACAGCUCCUGCAUGUGGAUUUACAAAAACCGAUGAGAGUGGAAACUGACGCAUCAGACAGAGCGGUUGGGGCGGUGCUUCUCCAGCCAGGGAAGGAGGAGUCAGAGUGGAGACCGUGUGCUUUUUUUCGCGAAAGCUGAACAAAUCCGAGAGGAACUACACGGUGUAUGACCGAGAACUACUAGCCAUUCAUGAGGCGUUCCGGAGAUGGAGGCACCUGCUAAUUGGCGCACAACAUAAGGUGCAAGUGUGCACUGACCACAAGAACCUAGAGUAUUGGAGGACGGCACGAGUGCUCAACCAACGGCAAGUGAGAUGGGCCCAGGAAUUCUCCAAAUUUAACUUUGAGAUUUGUUACGUGCCAGGCCCAGAGAACAUUAGGGCGGACGCUCUCUCACGCAAACCUGAAUAUUGGGAGGGGGAGGGAGCACCCGAAGAGAGACAUGUCAUUCCAGAGGACCGCUGGGUGUGUGGGGCGGCAUUGGUGGGACAAAGAGAACUGGUAGAAGAAACAGAGAAUGAUGAAUACGCCCAGAAUAAGCUCAGAGGUCUUAGGGAUGAGGGAGAGGAAUCAAGGGGUUUCGAGGAAAGAAAUGGAGCUUUGUAUUACAAAGGGGCACUGUAUAUCCCUGAAGGAGACUUAAGGGGGAGGGUACUCAAGCAGUUGCAUGACAGCCCCACGGCGGGGCAUUUUGGGCAACACAAAACCAUGUGGUUGGUCACCAGGGAAUUUUGGUGGCCUAAGGUGAGGGAGGAUGUACGUGAGUAUGUAAGAGGGUGCGAGCAGUGCCAGCGAGCCAAAGGGGAAAGGCGGGCGCCGGCGGGGCUAUUAGAACCCUUACCAACACCAGAACGACCUUGGGAGGCAGUGUCGAUAGAUUUUAUGACUGAUCUGCCGAAGUCCAAAGGGAAAACAGCCAUCAUGGUGGUGGUAGACCUACUAACAAAGAUGUGCCACUUUGUAGCUUGCUCGCAUGCAGUCACGGCGGAAGAGACAGCGAAGUUAUUUGUAGAACACAUUUUUAGGUUGCACGGGGUGCCAUUGAGGGUGGUCUCAGACCGAGGAAAACAAUUUACUUCCAGGUUCUGGAGGAAGCUCAUGAGCUUACUGCAGGUGGAGGUCAACUUUUCGACUGCCCGGCACCCUGAAACCAACGGGCAGGCGGAAAGAGCAAACGGUGUCCUCCAGCAAUACCUGAGGUGUUAUGUCAAUGACAGAGAGAAUGACUGGGUAGAAAAGUUGGCGCUGGCGGAAUUUGCCUACAACAAUGCCGAGAAUGUGUCCACAGGGAUGAGCCCCUUCUUGGCUAAUUAUGGGUGUCAUCCCAGGGCUUUCCCAGGGGGAGAAGGGGAGAGAUGGAGCGUACCGGCAGCCGAGCAUUUUGUAGAAGAAAUGGAAGCAAUCCACCGUCAGCUCCAACUCAACUUAGAAAGGGCGAAGGAAGAAUACAAGAGGCAGGCAGACAAGAACCGAAGGGAAGGUGAAACCAUAAGGGUUGGAGAUAGGGUGUGGCUGUCAACCCGAGGGUUGCCGUUCAAAGGAGGUUGUAAGAAAUUACGACCCAGGAGGUUGGGUCCCUUUGAGGUCAUUCAACAGGUCAACCCAGUGGCUUUCAGGCUCCGGUUACCCAACCACAUGAAACUGCACCCAGUAUUUCACAGGUCGUUACUGUCACCGUACGAGGGGGGACGAGAAGGGAUGGACACUGGGACCGGUCAUAGAAGAAAGAGAAUGCAGCAGUCAUGUGGCAGAAAUCCUUGAUGCCAGGUGGAAGGGGAAUCAGGUGGAGUAUUUGGUAGCGUGGGAAGGAGAACCGGAGUCAGAAAACACGUGGGUAAUGGCCAAAGAUAUCAAUGACGAGGUAUUGAUAGAAAUGUUCCAUCAAAGGUUCCCGCGGAAACCUCAGCCUGUGGAGAGGUUCCGGAGGGAAUACUUUGGGACCACUGAGGAGGAGGAGGAGUUGGAAGGAUUCCCAGAAUCGGAAGGGGAAGGGGAGAUGGACUCGGAGGAGGAGGAGUGCUUCGAGACCAGGAACCGCAACAGGUGGAGAGAAGUGUUCGAGACAUCGGAAGAUGAAGGAAGUUCAUUCCGGGUUUUGCCUCCUCACCGCCCGUAGAGGAGGGGGCGAGAGGGGGUGAAGGGGGCCCUGGAGGGGGAGGUGGAUGUCAGGGAACUGCCAUCGGAAGGAAGGGAGGUGAAAGGACUCAGACAGGUUGGAAGAGAUUCAGCAGCUGAAGAGGGAACCAGCAAGGGGAGAGAAGCUGAACUGAGGGAGGUGAAAGGGCUCAGACAGGUUGGAAGAGACUCAGCAGCGGAAGAGGAAACCAGCAGGGGGAGACAAGCUGAACUGAGGGAAAGGGAGCUGGGGGGAUGGCUCAGAGAUACUUCCAGCGAAAACAGUGGUGAGGUUUCCGGACCUCCUGUAGCGACACCCACUCCUCGCCGGAAACUGUCACGCAGAGAGUCCAGAAGACGUGUUUCCGUUAAGGAGCUUUUAUGUUGGAAGCGAUUACGAAAGCAACCACUGUCGGAAUCUUCUAGUGACUAAGAGGAGCCAUGUCAGAGGGGCUCAGUCACAGACAGAGGUUUGUGGACUUGAACAAACUCUGAGGGAAUACGAUUUUACGCACAAGCAGCUCAUAAUCCCAUCACA